rnacentral:rRNA from 1 species
UACGUAGGGUGCAAGCGUUAAUCGGAAUUACUGGGCGUAAAGCGUGCGCAGGCGGUUUUGUAAGUCUGUCGUGAAAUCCCCGGGCUCAACCUGGGAAUUGCGUUGGAGACUGCAAGGCUAGAAUCUGGCAGAGGGGGGUAGAAUUCCACGUGUAGCAGUGAAAUGCGUAGAGAUGUGGAGGAACACCUGUGGCGAAGGCGGCCCCUGGGCCGGCCCUGACACUGAGACGCGAAGGCGUGGGGAGCAACAGG